CUGGGACUAGAAUAGGCUGAGUUUACAUUCCUUGAAAACUGUCUUGGGGUCAGGAGAUCUACGGGCGAGAGGAGGGGGCACCACUGACCCAUGUUUGAUGCAGGUAAGAACGCCAGAAUCAUCGUUGCUCUGAGCAGGGUCAAAGGAUUGCUAAUAGAAAAAGAUGGCAUUUGAGAAACCCUCCAGAGGACAGGGCGAUGCCUGAUCUGCAUGGAGUCUCAUCGGAGCACAGGUAUACUAUGAUCCGGCCAGUCAGGAUGGCUUUCCAACCUCCCCGGACAUCGGCCACCCCAGCCCAGAUGUUCCUUCACUUUGCCUGUUUUGAUUUCCACUUGAUGGCCGGGAUGAAUGAUGGAAAUUAGGACCAGUGGAGGUGUCCUUGCAAACAGCCUCAUGCUGCUGAGGGAUUCCUGACCCGCAGAUUUCCCCAUCUCUUCUUCCAGAGCUUCCCUGCCACCUCUAGGCCCCUGGUGAUCUUGCCCCUGAACUUGGGAAAUGUGUAAGCCUGCUAAUUCAGGCAUCCUCCGG